rnacentral:rRNA from 1 species
CCCUUAGAUGUUCUGGGCUGCACGCGCGCUACACUGAUGCGUUCAACGAGUUUAUCACCUUGCCCGAUAGGGUUGGGUAAUCUUUUGAAAACGCAUCGUGAUGGGGAUAGAUUAUUGUAAUUAUUAAUCUUCAACGAGGAAUUCCUAGUAAGUGCGAAUCAUCAGUUCGCGCUGAUUACGUCCCUGCCCUUUGUACACACCGCCCGUCGCUCCUACCGAUUGAGUGGUCCGGUGAAUAAUUCGGACUGAGGAUUUAGGCAGUUCCUGUCUUUAUCUUCGGGAAGUCUAGUGAACCUUAUCACUUAGAGGAAGGAGAAGUCGUAACA